AAAUUAUUUAAAACUGCCAAAAUUUUGCACAUACUUCCUUUCAGGGUUCCAUCAUCCUUUAUCCGUGUACUACCCUAAUCAGAAAUCAAGGUUGAUUCACGAAGCAUGAGACUCUGCAAGUGUUCCUCCAGAAGCAUUCAAAGAUCUAAUACUACAAUACAAUAUCUACAAAUAUUUAUUCUACAUUUAUGAGUUUUAUCCUGAAAACUAUAUUUAUUGGACUUUUUAACCUGAGAACAAGAAUUUUAUAUUACAUGCCUAUAUAUGUACUCUCAAAGUUUACUUUUAAGAACUUAUAUUUAAACAAAGCCUAGCCUAUAAACUUAUCUAAUGGCCCUUAUGUUUCAGAACAUAAUGGGAUAGAUUUUAUUAAAAGAUUGUCCUGUUAGCUCCAGGUUGUGCACUCAAGUUAAUAAUCUCGUGUCACCACCUGUUCUACCUGAACUCUGAACUUUAAAUAUAAACAGAUAAGCCUGCUGAUCAACUCACUAUCCUCGAACCUGGUCUUCUCCCCCAGGACGGAUGGAUUUGUUCCUCUGAUCUGAGUUGCUACUCAGAUCCUCGUCAUCACAAGCCUGCAGUAGCUGCCAUCUCUCCGCCGCUGCUGCCAUCUCUCCGCCGUUGCUGCGAUCUCUCCGCCGUAGCUGCUAUCUCUCCGCCGAUGCUGCGAUCUCUCCGCCGUAGCUGCCAUCUCUCCGCCGUUGCUGCGAUCUCUCCGCCUUAGCUACCAUCUCUCCGCCGUAGCUGCGAUCUCUCCUUGGAUGAAGUAAAACUACGCUUCUCUCCAAACCCAACAGCUUGAAGAUAAAGCUUAAUUACAAAAGGUGAAGAUCAACAGAUUGAAACUAAUCACUCAAAGGAUUAAAUGAACUAAUUUAAUCUCGUUCAGAUAUCUCCUCUAUCAACCCUGAGUGCAAGGUCAACUCCUUUAAGCUGAUCUCACCUGUACCUUCUAUUCUCCAGUCUCUGUCGGGAUAACAAUAGUUUCUUGUGAUGAGUGUGAACUACUUUUUCGAGUUGUGAACAAUUGAAAACACAUAUUUAAAGUUAAAGACUAUAUCUUUCAAAUGAACUCACCGUGAUAUUUUUAGUUGUGUACGAGAUAUGUUGGCUAAAAUCUAAAGAGCUAUUAACCUCCGGCCUAAUCAACUUUGUAAGUGCAUUUUUAAAUCACAUUAAUACGUCAUGAAAUAUUCACAUUACACACCUGGAGCAAAUUUUAUUGGCAAACUUUACAUUUUACGAUUUAUUUAAUAUUCAUAAUAUAAAUAAUCUAACCGUGACUGAUUUUGUGUUUUUCAGUUUCACGGCUUAGAGCUAUUGUUCCUGUAUCUAUAGACUAAAUAAAUAAGAUUAAGCAAGA